UACGUAGGGGGCAAGCGUUGUCCGGAUUUAUUGGGCGUAAAGAGCGUGUAGGCGGCUAGGUAGGUCCGUUGUGAAAACUCGAGGCUCAACCUCGAGACGUCGAUGGAAACCAUCUAGCUAGAGUCCGGAAGAGGAGAGUGGAAUUCCUGGUGUAGCGGUGAAAUGCGCAGAUAUCAGGAAGAACACCCGUGGCGAAGGCGGCUCUCUGGUACGUGACUGACGCUGAGACGCGGAAGCGUGGGGAGCGAACAGG
rnacentral:rRNA from 1 species